rnacentral:rRNA from 1 species
UACGUAGGGUGCGAGCGUUGUCCGGAAUUACUGGGCGUAAAGCGUGCGUAGACGGUUAUGUAAGUCGGAUGUGAAAGCCCCGGGCUCAACCUGGGAAUUGCAUUCGAGACUGCAUAGCUAGGAUGCGGAAGAGGGAAGUGGAAUUUCCGGUGUAGCGGUGAAAUGCGUAGAUAUUACAAGGAACAUCAACGGCGAAGGCAGCACUCUGGGCCGGUACUGACGCUGAGGAGCGAAAGCGUGGGGAGCAAACAGG